GAGAGUCGUGGUAGACCACCACGUUGAUAGGCCGCGUGUGCAAGUGCAGUGAUGCAUUCAGCUUAGCGGUACUAAUAGCUCGAUCGGCUUGAUUCU
rnacentral:rRNA from 1 species